AAAGCCUUUUUCAGGAAACUGAUAGUCUGUGUUACGCCACAGAAAACUCGCGGCCGCAAUACUCAGAGCGCGGCGCCGCUUACGGACAUGGCGGGCGGGGACUACACUUCCCAGCCAUGACCGCGCUCAAGUUCACCUGAGUAUUGAUCACCAACACCUGUGCAGCUGACGAAGUUAUAAAAGGCCUCGUUAAGCGGCGCGAAGUAAACGCUUAGUUCUUGUGAUUUAGUGGUAUUACCAAGCCUUAGAGUUAAUCUAGUUUUUCCCCGGUAUUUGGACUUUCCUGCCUGUUAUACCCCGUUAUGAUUCCUCGCUUUAUCCCAGUUGGAUUGGUCGCUGAUAUUCGUCUGUUUUCUGCUAUUCAUCUCACGUCGCUCCUGUACUCGCCGCCCUGCCCGUCUGCGCUUGUCUCCAGCAGACCGACAGCCGGCGCACAAGGAACUAAAAUCGCUCCUCCCGCGACUGCCGCGCUGGCGCUGAAGAGACAGCCCCGCUUCAAUGUUUUGGACAGUCGGAAAGCACGUGGAGGUGGGGCGGAGCCGCCGACGCACCCUCGGGCGAUGAAUGGGUACACACAUGAAAAUUCCACCAUCCAGCAGACGAAGGGAGAGUAUAAAAGGCUGCUCUUCCGCUCGAAAGGAGAGCGUCCUCUCACAUGAAGUGUGACUGACUUACUGCCAGCUAUCAGUAUUGUGUGUUUUCUUUCAGACUACCCGGACCCGAGCGAAUCCUCCACUCCCUAGCUACAAAAGCGGCGUUGCCUGACUGCUGAGAAGAGCUCCUGUUUCUCCGGAAAGCCCCGGCACGACUCUGGCAACCCCGCAAUACACUGACCUCUCACCACACGCUGUCACGCCCACACGCUGAGCGAAGUCCUCGGCGGAGCAUGAAGGCAGAGCGACGACCACAGCUGGGCAGACAGGCUGAGCGAAGUCCUCGGCGGAGCAUGAAAGCGGAGUGACGACCACAGCCAGGUAGGCAGGCUGAGUGAAGUCCUCGGCAGAGCAUGAAAGCGGAGCGACGUCCUCGGCGGAGCGACGUCCUCGGCAGGGCAGGGAAGCAGGGUGACAUCCUCGGCUGAACAGGGAAACAGAGCGCUGUACUCAGGAAAGCGAAGUCCCCUGUGAGGCCCAGGAGAGGAGCGUGGGUCUCCGUGAGUCCAGGGAGAGGAACGAAGCUCUCCUCGAAGCAGGAGGGGGGACCGAUGUUCGCCAUGGAGCAGAGAGGCUGAGCGACGACCUCAGCCGAGCAGGGAGGCUGAGCGACGUCCACAGCUGAACAGGAGGACUGAGCGACGACCACAGCCAGGCAGACUGGCUGAGCGAAGUCCUCGGCGGAGCAGGAAAGCGGAGCGACGACCACAGCCGGGCAGGCAGGCUGAGCGAAGUCCUCGGCGGAGCAUGAAGGCGGAGCGACGACCACAGCCGGGCAAGCAGGCUGAGCGAAGUCCUCGGCAGAGCAUGAAGGCAGAGCGACGUCCUCGGCGGAGCAGGAAAGCAGAGCGACGUCCUCGGCUGAACAGGGGAACAGAGCGCUGUACUCAGCAGAGCAGGGAAGCAGGGCGACGUCCUCGUCGGAGCAUGAAAGCGGAGCGACGUCCCCGGCUGAACUGGAGGGCGGAGCGACGUCCUUGGCUGAGCAGGAAGGCAGAGCGAUGUCCUCGGCUGAGCAGGAAGGCAGAGCGAUGUCCUCGGCUGAGCAGGAAGGCAGAGUGACCUACUCAGCGGAGCCUGCAAGCUGAAAUUGGCUGGUCAUGUCAGCAGUCUGGGAUGUGAGCAGAGCUUGGUUGUCCGUGUCAAGACACUUGGUUGUGCAUGUCAGCAGACUCGGGCAUGAGCAGAACUUGGCUAUGUGUGUCAGCAGACUCGGGCUUUGGCAGAACUUGGGUGGUUGUGUCGGUAGUCUUGGGUGUGGGCUGAACUUGGGCGACCGGGUCGGUAGACUUGGACGUGGGCUGAACUUGGGCGAUCGGGUCGGUAGACUCGGGCGUGAGCAGAACUUGGUCGGCCGUAUCAGUAGACUUGGGUGUGACAUCAGGAACUUGAGACUUGACCUGGACUUCAGAGACUGGACUUGGACCUCAGAGACAUGAGACUUGACUUGGACCUCAGGGACUUGAGACUUGACUUGGACUUGGACCUCAGGGACUUGAGAUUUGACUUGGAUUUCAGAGACUUGAUACUUGACUUGGACUUCAGAGACUAGAGACUUGACUUGGACCUCAGGGUUGAGCUCUGGUGCUGGAGCCUCCCUGUUGACCUCUAGAUGGAGCUCGGCAGGUGAGCCCACCUCGUGGGUCUCAGGUUCGAGAUCUGAAGUCGCCAGCUUAACCUCCGGCUGGGGCUCUGCAUGAGCCUGUAGUAGUGAGUAAACGGCAGGGCAGGUUUGCCUGCCAGACUUACCCCCCGAAAAAUUGUUCUAGCUCGACCCUCACCUCCGGACUCCCGAACCGCAUCAUGAACUCCCCCACAAACUGUUCCGGGACUACAUGAAUCGGAGCCAUUGCUUCUCCUCUGGCUUAGGGUCUAACAGGCUGGAGAAAUAGAAUUGACAGUCUACCAGAAAAUAUUCAGGGGCACCGAAAAAUCCGUCAAAUGGGUCAGAAAGCUCCAUAAAUGUCCAUUGUGGGAAGUGGACUGAGUCCAUAGUGCGGACGGUUGGCGUCGACUUCCGGGUUCUGCGUUUUCUCCGUUCUCCUGCUGCAUCCAUGUUUAGGCGGAAGAUUCUGUCACGUAUCGUGACGGAGCGGAGAUAGGACGGAUGCAAUUACAGUAUGAACAGUUCUUUAUUUUAAAAGAGAGACAGGCAGACAAAUCCAAAACGUGAUCCAAAAACGUAAUCCAAAACAGGCGAAGGUCAGGCGAUCGGCAAACAGGCAUACACAGGGUUAAACAUGAAUCAAGGUCGUGGUCACGGAAAACAGGGUCGGUAAACUAAACGAGAAACAUCAACUAUGACGAGGAACUGGGAGCGGAUAAUCCAGCGUGAACGAACUCUAAACAUGGACCGUGACUAUGACUACUAUACGAACUAAUCUAACUCUACGAUAAUCUUCCGUGUUGUGUGCUGGGAGGCGCGCGGUAUAUAUGUGGACAUGAUCAGCGUCUAAACUGCUAGCAGCUGAGGGCAAUACAGACACACGUGAAAUCCCAGCCAAUGACAGAACAGGGAGGAGACCUGAUAGAAACAUAAACAAAACACACGUGUCCAGAUGUCACUACUGUCAACAAUGGAAAAGCAGGUGCUUGCGCAUUCGCGCUUAGAGCACGCUGCUUCAAGGGGAAAUCAUGACACUCGAUGACUUUGCUUAGAUCCGGUAAAGCGGAUUUAGACUUGCCCGUGGCCAGAAAUAAAGAAAUGAUUGCUGGUGACUUUCUGAGAAAAGCUCACCGACUCACCAACAGCUGCAUGGAAAUGGGAAAGUGCGUCGGCCAGCUGUCCGGCAGCCAGGAGCUUCUUCCCCAUCUCCAGGUGCUUCUCGACACUGUUCUCACUGCUGCAUAGCACUCUUUUAAUCAAAAGUAAACUCAGGCCAGGAUAUAGUAAAGUAAAAAUAUAGUGACAAA